CCGAGUGCGGGCCCUCUGGGUCCAACCUCCCACCCGUGUCUAUUGUACCUUGUUGCUUCGGCGGGCCCGCCGUUCUCGAACGGCCGCCGGGGAGGCCUCGCGCCCCCGGGCCCGCGCCCGCCGAAGACCCCAACAUGGACGCUGUUCUGGAAGUAUGCAGUCUGAGUUUGAUUACCAUAAUCAGUUA
rnacentral:misc_RNA from 1 species